rnacentral:rRNA from 1 species
GCAUACGUCCCUACGGGAGAAAGCAGGGGAUCUUCGGACCUUGCGCUAAAUGAUGAGCCUAAGUCGGAUUAGCUAGUUGGUGGGGUAAAGGCCUACCAAGGCGACGAUCUGUAGCGGGUCUGAGAGGAUGAUCCGCCACACUGGGACUGAGACACGGCCCAGACUCCUACGGGAGGCAGCAGUGGGGAAUAUUGGACAAUGGGCGGAAGCCUGAUCCAGCCAUGCCGCGUGUGUGAAGAAGGCCUUUUGGUUGUAAAGCACUUUAAGCGAGGAGGAGGCUACUAGUACUAAUACUACUGGAUAGUGGACGUUACUCGCAGAAUAAGCACCGGCUAACUCUGUGC